GUAUAGCUCAGUUGACAGAGCAUGAGACUCUUAAUCUCAACAUGGGGUUUGAGCCCCACGUUGGGCA